GAUGAAGAACGUAGCGAAAUGCGAUAAGUAAUGUGAAUUGCAGAAUUCAGUGAAUCAUCGAAUCCUUGAACGCACAUUGCGCCCGCCAGUAUUCUGGCGGGCAUGCCUGUUCGAGCGUCAUUUCAACCAUCAAGCCCCCGGCUUGUGUUGGGGACCUGCGGCUGCCGCAGGCCCUGAAAAGCAGUGGCGGGCUCGCUGUCACACCGAGCGUAGUAGCAUACAUCUCGCUCUGGGCGUGCUGCGGGUUCCGGCCGUUAAACCACCUUCAUAACCCAAGGUUGACCUCGGAUCAGGUAGGAAGACCCGCUGAACUUAAGCAUAUCAAUAAGCGGAGGA
rnacentral:misc_RNA from 1 species